UUUAACUAAAAUUAGUUUUAUCAAAAUAUUUAGUUUUAUUAAUAUACUCCUACCAUUUGAAACAGUAAAAUGUUUUUUUAAAUAUUAAAUAAUACAUAAAAUUUUAAUAAUUCAAUCCUAAUGCACUAUUUACUAAAUCAGUACCUAUUCCAGUAUCCAGUUUGUUUAUAAUUUCCUUGGUCUAAUGCGAGUUUUUCUUGACUGUAUGCUAUCACAAUGUUAGGUCUGUAUUAUAUUUUUAGCACUAUGAGUUGUGACUUAUGAGUUAUGAAGUAAGCAACGCCAUCUUGAGAAAAAAAGUCAAUACUCUAUGGUCGAAAAACUCCCAUUACAAAUCUCUGAAGCUUGAUGGCCUGAAAUCUGUAACUCGGUCCAAUUUUUCAAACGAAUGUUCACCAUUAUAUUUACCUUUAUGUUAAAAUGUAUACAUACAUUGAUUCAUAUUAUUGUAGUAAACUACUUAUGUACAAUAAAACAUUUCAAAACUGUUA